rnacentral:rRNA from 1 species
CGCCUAUACACAAAAGCAAAAAUGUCCGUUUAUACAAAUAUACGGCGUUUCGGUUUUGUUGGCGGGGGGUGCGUGUGUGGAUAACGGCUCACAUAACGUGUCGCGAUGGAUGACUUGGCUUCCUAUUUCGUUGAAGAACGCAGUAAAGUGCGAUAAGUGGUAUCAAUUGCAGAAUCAUUCAAUUACCGAAUCUUUGAACGCAAACGGCGCAUGGGAGAAG